rnacentral:rRNA from 1 species
AACGAACGCUGGCGGCAUGCCUAACACGUGCAAGUCGAACGAUCCCUUCGGGGAUAGUGGCGCACGGGUGCGUAACGCGUGGGAACCUGCCCUUAGGUUCGGAAUAACUCAGAGAAAUUUGAGCUAAUACCGGAUAAUGUCUUCGGACCAAAGAUUUAUCGCCUUUGGAUGGGCCCGCGUUGGAUUAGCUAGUUGGUGGGGUAAAGGCCUACCAAGGCGACGAUCCAUAGCUGGUCUGAGAGGAUGAUCAGCCACACUGGGACUGAGACACGGCCCAGACUCCUACGGGAGGCAGCAGUGGGGAAUAUUGGACAAUGGGCGAAAGCCUGAUCCAGCAAUGCCGCGUGAGUGAUGAAGGCCUUAGGGUUGUAAAGCUCUCUUACCCGGGAUGAUAAUGACAGUACCGGGAGAAUAAGCCCCGGCUAACUCCGUG